rnacentral:rRNA from 1 species
AUUGAACGCUGGCGGCAUGCUUUACACAUGCAAGUCGAACGGUAACAGGCCACAAGGUGCUGACGAGUGGCGAACGGGUGAGUAAUGCAUCGGAACGUGCCCAGUCGUGGGGGAUAACGCAGCGAAAGCUGCGCUAAUACCGCAUACGAUCUAUGGAUGAAAGCGGGGGACCGUAAGGCCUCGCGCGAUUGGAGCGGCCGAUGUCAGAUUAGGUGGUUGGUGGGGUAAAGGCUCACCAAGCCAACGAUCUGUAGCUGGUCUGAGAGGACGACCAGCCACACUGGGACUGAGACACGGCCCAGACUCCUACGGGAGGCAGCAGUGGGGAAUUUUGGACAAUGGGCGCAAGCCUGAUCCAGCAAUGCCGCGUGCAGGAAGAAGGCCUUCGGGUUGUAAACUGCUUUUGUACGGAACGAAAAGGCUCUGGUUAAUACCUGGGGCUCAUGACGGUACCGUAAGAAUAAGCACCGGCUAACUACGUGCCAGCAGCCGCCGUAAUAC